rnacentral:tRNA from 1 species
AUUAAAACUGGCAAUUAUGGACUUAAAAUCCCUCGGCCGUAAGGCUGUGCGAGUUCGAUUCUCGCUCCGGGCACCA